rnacentral:lncRNA from 1 species
GGUUGAUUGAGAGCACUGCCAGGUGGGGACUGACCAGGUGCACUGAAGGCGAAUAAGAUGUCAGAAAGGUAAAAGGUAAUUUGUUUUCUCCUCUGGGGUAACCUCGAUAUGUUCUUUUUCUCCAAACAGUUAAGUUUAGAGGAAAUAUGCCUACACCAAGUUUUAAAUUAUUAACAAGCUUAACAUUCAUGUGCCAUUGAAUGUGGAUGCAUUUAAAGGAAUGGGUCAUUACGUGAAGAGAGCUGUAAACAUGCAAUGAAGUGACCUUACCAGAAAGAAAGUCUCUAUUCAGACUCAGGAUGGAAAAGGCUGAAACCCAGCGGGGUGCUUGAAUAGGCUGUUAAAAAGACAAGAAUGUCCACAUCUAGGCAGAUGUGCUGGUGAUCAUCUCAGCUGGACCACAGCUCAGAGUUCUCUUCAAACUCUAUUUAAUCAGUCAGCCACCCAUGAUUCUUCAGCCUCCACCACUCCUGCUGCAGACAGAGGGGGUAAAGGAGAAGCAUUGGAAAGCACUGAGGGUGAGCUCCAGAUACCAGAGAAGGGAACAGAAAUAAAUAAAAUCUCACUGAUUUUGACCACCUUGGGUUCUAAGGUUUGAAUAAUAAAAAUAAAAUUUUCAAAUGUGUUCCUGUCUAU